rnacentral:rRNA from 1 species
GACGGAGGUGGCGAGCGUUGUUCGGAAUCACUGGGCUUAAAGGGCACGCAGGCGGUCAAGUGUGUCCGGUGUGAAAUCCCUCGGCUCAACCGAGGAACUGCGCCGGAAACUACUUGACUUGAGGGUUGGAGAGGUGAGUGGAACUCCAGGUGUAGCGGUGAAAUGCGUAGAUAUCUGGAGGAACGCCGGAGGUGAAAGCGACUCACUGGACAAUUCCUGACGCUGAGGUGCGAAAGCCAGGGGAGCGAACGGG